UUCAACAAUCUAAAAAAUUCUUAAUUCUAGAGAAAGAAAAUGGCUUCAUCCUCUAACGAUCCACCUCCUUUCCCCUCCCAUCCUCCCAUCCCACCUGCUAAGCCACCAGAUUCAAGUGAAUCUCAGCGAUCAAACCCAACCUCCUGCGCUCAACUAUUCAGCAGACAAAAUACUUCAACUUCACCCUGCUCCUUACAUCAGUUGCAACGUAUCCAAUCCUCUACGUCCGAUGAAGUUUUCAUUUCCCCUGAACUACUAUCGAAAA
rnacentral:lncRNA from 1 species